CAGUCGAGCGAGAAGACGUAGCAAUACGUUUGUAAAGCGGCGAACGGGUGAGGAAUACAUGGGUAACCUACCCUAGAGUGGGGAAUAACCAGCCGAAAGGUUGGCUAAUACCGCGUACGCUUCUUGGACUUCGGUUCAGGGAGGAAAGCGCUACCGAGGGUAGCGCGCUCUUGGAUGGGCUCAUGUCCUAUCAGCUUGUUGGUGAGGUAAUGGCUCACCAAGGCUUCGACGGGUAGCUGGUCUGAGAGGACGAUCAGCCACACUGGCACUGCGACACGGGCCAGACUCCUACGGGAGGCAGCAGUAAGGAAUAUUGCGCAAUGGGCGAAAGCCUGACGCAGCGACGCCGCGUGGGGGAUGAAGGUCUUCGGAUUGUAAACCCCUUUCGGGAGGGAAGAUGGAAUGGGGUAACUCAUUCGGACGGUACCUCCAGAAGCAGUCGCGGCUAACUUCGUGCCAGCAGCCGCGGUAAUACGAAGGUGGCAAGCGUUAUUCGGAUUUACUGGGCGUACAGGGAGCGUAGGCGGUUUGGUAAGCCCUCUGUGAAAUCUCCAGGCUUAACCUGGAAAAGUCGGAGGGGACUGCUGGGCUAGAGGACGGGAGAGGAGCGCGGAAUUCCCGGUGUAGCGGUGAAAUGCGUAGAGAUCGGGAGGAAGGCCGGUGGCGAAGGCGGCGCUCUGGAACGUUUCUGACGCUGAGG
rnacentral:rRNA from 1 species